rnacentral:rRNA from 1 species
GUCAAGCUACAAAGGGCUGAUGGUGGAUACCUAGGCACGCAGAGGCGAAGAAGGACGUGGCGACCGACGAAAAGCUCCGGGGAGCUGGAAGCAAGCAUUGAGCCGGAGAUAUCCGAAUAGGGCAACCUAAAAACAGCUUGUUGAAUAUAUAGACAAGCAUGAGCGAACUCAGCGAACUGAAACAUCUUAGUAGCUGAAGGAAAAGAAAGAAAACUCGAUUUCCUCAGUAGUGGUGAGCGAAAGGGAAAGAGCCUAAACCAGUUGUUUUUACAACUGGGGUAGUGGGACAGCGAUAUGGAAGCCGGAAGCUAGACGAAGCAGCUAGAAACUGCACCAAAGAAGGUAAGAGUCCUGUAGUCGAAAGUGAAAGGAUACUAGCUGCAUCCCGAGUAGCGCGGAACACGGGAAAUUCCGCGUGAAUCAGCGAGGACCACCUCGUAAGGCUAA